rnacentral:miRNA from 1 species
CCUUCAGCUCACUUAGUAGCCCAGGCUGGCCUCAAAUUUGCAGUGAUCUUCCUGCCUCAGCCUCCUGAGUGCUGGGAU